AGCGUCUCGCGUUUUGUUUGUGGGCUGGGGCAGGUGGAAGGGGAAGUGGUACCCCUGUGGUAAUUAAGAGGAUGGGGAACGGCCAGUGGUCAGUCCAUUUCUUUCCUCUCUCUCUCUAUUGUUCUCUGUGAAAUCCGAAGAUCUCUGCAGCGAAUCGAGGAGAAUCGCUGUGCUCCUCCAUGGCCAGCGAGAGGAUGGGCGACACUGCCUAUGGAGAGAUGGUAUGCAGAGUUUGUCUGAGCCCUUGCAACCACGAGAGGGCAAGCGGCAUCAGCAUGUAUGUCUGGAAGGAGUUAAAAAACGCAGGGUUACAAGGUGUGCAACGGAGUUCCACAUUAUUCAUCAAAGCAGAGAACUUAUAGAGGGGACAAGCUUUCCUUUUUUUGCCAUGAAAAGCUAGUACAUGUGGUGCUAAUGUAAUUGAAGAUGGUUGGAAUGCUAGAUGCAUCCCAGCUUGCUGCAGUUGCACAUGUGGGAUACCAAGGUAUGGCUGCUGCAAACACAAAGUCGUGUUUUCGUCAGUUUACUGUUAUUUAACUUUUGUUCCCUUUUCAUUUUUGUUGUCACCCACAAGGAUAUGUAAUUACAAUCUAAGGAAUUUUUUUUGCAUUUUUUUCCUUCUCACCUGAAUUGGGGUCUGCAAACUAUGCGGAGUUGGAGCCCAACUGUUCGGAAUUUUUUGUGCCAAAGUAUUCUUCGGAUGCUACACAAAAUGCAGGAAACAGUAUGUGUCAAUCUGAAUGCAUGAGAUAUCUUUUUUAUUUUUCUGCAUUAUACAAACAACCACAUUCAUCAGUUUUA